GAUGAACGCUGGCGGCGUGCUUAACACAUGCAAGUCGAGCGGGCAAUUUAUCUAGCACUGAUUACUUCAAAUGGAAAUCAUAAGUGUAAUCAUGAAUUUCUACCUUUAAUAAAGAAAAAAGAAAUUCAUGUACGCAAAUAGUGAUAACACAUUUUAGUGGAGUGAUGAGUGCUGGAUAAAUUGCUAGCGGCGGACGGGUGCGUAACACGUGGGUAACCUGCCCCUAUCACUGGGAUAACACACUGAAAAGUGUGCUAAUACCAGAUAAUAUAAGCUUUUGGCAUCAUUAGCUUAUCAAAGAAUUUCGGAUAGGGAUGGGCCCGCGUCUGAUUAGCUAGUUGGUGAGGUAACGGCUCACCAAGGCAACGAUCAGUAGCCGACCUGAGAGGGUGAUCGGCCACACUGGAACUGAGACACGGUCCAGACUCCUACGGGAGGCAGCAGUGGGGAAUAUUGCACAAUGGGC
rnacentral:rRNA from 1 species